UACGAACUGUGCGAACGUUAUUCGGAAUCACUGGGCUUACAGGGUGCGUAGGCGGCUUAGCAAGUCAGGUGUGAAAAGCCCCCCGGCUCAACCGGGGGAACUGCGCUUGAAAACUGCUGAGCUCGAGUCAGCUAGAGGUACACGGAACUUCCAGUGGAGCCGGUGAAAUGUGUUGAUAUUGGAAAGGAACACCGGAGGCGAAAGCGGUGUACUGGGGCUGGUCUGACGCUGAGGCACGAAAGCCAGGGGAGGCGAACGGG
rnacentral:rRNA from 1 species